rnacentral:rRNA from 1 species
UGGGGAAUAUUGGUCAAUGGGCGAAAGCCUGAACCAGCAAUGCCGCGUGGGUGAUGAAGGCCUUCGGGUUGUAAAGCCCUGUCAGGGGGAACGAAAAAGCCGGCUAAUCACCGGUAUUGACGGUACCCCCAAAGGAAGCACCGGCUAACUCUGUGCCAGCAGCCGCGGUAAUACAGAGGGUGCAAGCGUUGUUCGGAAUUACUGGGCGUAAAGCGCGUGUAGGCGGUCUUGUAAGUCGGAUGUGAAAUCCCUCGGCUUAACCGAGGAACUGCAUCUGAUACUGCUAGACUAGAGUGUCGGAGGGGAUGGCGGAAUUCCCGGUGUAGAGGUGAAAUUCGUAGAUAUCGGGAGGAACAUCUGUGGCGAAGGCGGCCAUCUGGAAGACAACUGACGCUGAGACGCGAAAGCAUGGGGAGCAAACAGG